ACAGAUGAUCAUCUGGGAAUACAACUAGAUGUGAAUAGGAAGCCUCUGCAGAGUUUGGGACAGAGGUGUAUUUGCACAUGUUGACUUUCCUCAAAAAAAUCAUAGAAUAUCAGGGUUUUGAAGGAAUGAAAGCAACAGUAUUAGGAGUUAUCCCCCCAUUGUGAGGAUUUUCCAAGCAUGUAAAUAAGGGACAUACCAGUUCAGGAAUCACUUCUGCAAUACAGCCAAUUCCAGAGGGAGCAGAGCAGCUGUUUAAUAAAGCACAUCAACAUCACAGAAUGGUGAAGAACAGGAAAUAAAGAUACAUGUUUUAGGUUGUCCUCCUUGCAGAUCAAAAGACCCGACUUACAAAAGUUAGUCUCAAUUUAAGAAGCAGCAGCAAAAAAAGUGUGUUUCUUCAAGACCAUCACAUUACCUGACACCCGAACUAGCCGGGGUGUCAGGAUUAGCAGAACAUGGCAAUGGUGAUGGCAACAGGAUUAAGCAGCAACCCUAAUGGUAUUGAACAGUGAGCAGAAAGCUACUUUGCACAGCAUGUUCGACGGCAGAUGAGCCUUGCUGAGUUCUUACAACUGAGCACCCCUCAGAGGUCUUUGAGAUUCCAACCAGCAUUGGAAGUGACAGCCCAGAUAACACAGCUGCCUGCGGUGAUCACAAAAGAGCGAGAUGCAGCCUCCAAAUCCCAGGGCUGAUUCUACAUUAGCCUCUGACCUGGGCUACUUUACAGUGCACCAUCCGACUGUGGCCCCUGGAGGGCAAUGCAUCAGCUGAGAAUAACCAGAGUGCUAAGUGCUCUAGGAGCACCUGGACGUGCCACCCCUCUGGCAGAAUGUGCUGCACUGAUCAUCUUAAUUCCAGGACUGAUGUAUACAAAGUUUGUACUAAAAUGCUAUAAAUAAAGUGAAAACUGCACCAAUAGGCAAUUCAGUGAUUUAAAUGCUCAUGUCAAAGUAUCCCCAAGAUUUUCAGUAAAAUUUUUUAAACUUUGAGUUGAAAAAGUCUUUGACUAAAUAACUGAUGUUUGCUGGCCCCUAGGGUGGUCCUAAUACAGAGAACACUCACAUUUCAUUACCUAAAGUAGCCAUAGGAUUUCAAUGUUUUUCUACAUAAAAACCACCUGAAAAAAUAUUAAUCUGCUAUUCAAAAUUACUGAAAUUCCAAACAAAGGAGGCUUGGAUAUGAAAUUUUCAUGAAAUAAUAACCAUAGCGAGUGCUUCUCAUCAGUAGGUCUCAAAAUGCUUUGCGAAAGAGGUCAUAGAUGCGGAAACCAAGGCACAGAGAAACAAUGUGACUUGCUCAAGGUCACCCAGCGAUCCAGUGGAAGAGCCAGGAAUAGAACCCAUGUCUCUUGAUAUCCGGUCAAUAUGUACACUAGGCAACACCACUCUCCCUCCACUACCCACCAAUUUUCUAACUAUAGUGAAAAGAAGAAAAAUACCAAUGAACUGACCAAAAGCAAAUUACUUCCUUGUUCAAACUAUAGAUAUAAAUCUGGAAACUCAGUGUUACUUUUUGGUGAUUGUGCUCUGUUAAAAUAUUUAUA